GAAGGUCUUACGGGUUUGGAACGAUACGAGGUUCACAGCCCUGCCUGGGUGGCGUGAACUCCGUGAAGAUCUCCAGAGAGAAACCGAGAGGACGGCUUGAUGCCACUCUUCUGACACUCUGGGAAAACUGCCUAAUGGAUAGAAGAGAUGAGGAGAAGAAAGAUGGACCAAAGAAUCUCAGAAGAGACCUGGCUUAUGAAAAAGGACAAAUAAGCAAGCUGUUGCCUGGCUGUAGCCAUGUCUUCAAUGUCUAAUGGAAUCUUCUACCA